rnacentral:rRNA from 1 species
AUUGAACGCUGGCGGCAUGCUUUACACAUGCAAGUCGAACGGUAACAGGGUGCUUGCACCGCUGACGAGUGGCGAACGGGUGAGUAACGCGUCGGAACGUGCCGAGUAGUGGGGGAUAACGCAGCGAAAGUUGUGCUAAUACCGCAUACGUACUGAGGUAGAAAGCGGGGGACCUUCGGGCCUCACGCUAUUCGAGCGGCCGACGUCUGAUUAGCUAGUAGGUGAGGUAAAGGCUCACCUAGGCGACGAUCAGUAGCGGGUCUGAGAGGAUGAUCGGCAACACUGGGACUGAGAAACGGCCCAGACUCCUACGGGAGGCAGCAGUGGGGAAUUUUGGACAAUGGGCGAAAGCCUGAUCCAGCCAUGCCGCGUGUCUGAAGAAGGCCUUCGGGUUGUAAAGGACUUUUGUCAGGGAGGAAAUCCCUAGUGCUAAUAACACUGGGGGAUGACAGUACCUGAAGAAUAAGCACCGGCUAACUACGUGCCAGCCGCCGCGGUAA